AUUGAACGCUGGCGGCAGGCCUAACACAUGCAAGUCGAACGAGUGGCGGACGGGUGAGUAAUGUCUGGGAAACUGCCUGAUGGAGGGGGAUAACUCCUUGAAACGGUAGCUAAUACCGCAUACCAUCAGAUGUACCCAGAUGGGAUUAGGUGGUUGGUGGGGUAACGGCUCACCAAGGCGACGAUCCCUAGCUGGUUUGAGAGGAUGACAAGCAACACGGGAACUGAGACACGGUCCAGACCCCUACGGGAGGAAGCAUUGGGGAAUAGUGCACAAGGGGCACAAGCCGGAUGCAGCCAUGCCGGGUGUAUUAAGAAGGCCUUCGGGUUGUAAAGUACUUUCAGCGGGGAGGCGUUACCCGCAGAAGAAGCACCGGCUAACUCCGUGCCAGCAGCCGCGGUAAUAC
rnacentral:rRNA from 1 species